rnacentral:lncRNA from 1 species
ACUGACUUCAAGAAAAACAUGAUGUGUAAAAAAAAAACAACCUCUAUUGAACAUAUGAGUUUUAAUAUCUAGUAGAACUCUAAAUUUUACUUCCCAGGUUUACUUUUUGGAGGAAUUUUUUUUAACUCUUGAGUUAAAAAUGCCUCUUUAAGGGGCAUAAUUAACACAGCAGAGAAUGAUGACAUUUUACAGAAUACCUUGAAGACUGCAGAAACAGUGGGAUGAAACAUAGAAGUAAAAGUGUAAAGUCAUACAUUCAGGGAUUAAUUUGUACUUCAAGGUGUGGCGCACCUCUUGGAAAUAACAGAAAGGAAGAAAGAGCAGAAUGAACUAUUGAUUAGAGUUUUCUCUAUUGAUUAGAGUUUUCUUUGGGCUGCUAACAUGAUACAGCUGUGAGAAAGGCAAAAGUAAUCAGGAGUGUCAAGUGAGAUACUUAAUUUGAAAAAAAAUGGUUGAGGGAGCCUCUUUCUGAUCAUGCAAUGAUUGAUUGCAACUGAAAUUCUGAUGAAGGAGAAUUAAGCUGUAAUUCUUUUCAGAGAAGAAGCAAACUACUAAUGAUGGUGUAUGUUGCUAUGGCUAAGGUGAGCAAAGUUGCAUAUGUGUGUGCAUCUCUCUCUUGGGAAGCCUCAUGCCUUGCCAUUGUUGUUACUUGGUUGUGGAAGUCCUAGGUAACAGUGCUAUAGCUGGUAUGAGACUGCAAAGAUCACUCAUCCUGAGAGAUCUGAGGAGAGGAAAAGAAUUUGAUUCAUCAAUAAAGAAAUCACAAGAGAACACUGUUAAAUUUUGAUCUCUGUUACUGGUCUCUUGUUGAUAUCGUCAAUUAUACCUUGGACAGCUAGACUCUCAGGAGGAAGCCCAGGGAGAGGGAAGCUGGAAAUACUUCAGUGGCAAGCUGUGCAGGUCAGACUGUUGCAAGAAGUGAUACUAGAGGUGGUAAAUUGGAUUAGUUGGCAAAGAUUACAAAAGGGGGUAAAACAUGCAUAAGAAUUCAAUGAGCUACAUGGAUAUCGUUUGUGUGUGUUCAUAUCAAAUGUGGAUCACAACCAUUUGCCGUGGAGCAGGCAAUGAUCAGUCUGCUCCAAUAUGUGUGUCUUAAGAACAAGCUCUUGCUGGAGCUGCUCUGGGAUAUUUGUUUAUUAUUAUUAUAGCAAAAAAUAGUUUUUGACUUACCAUUUGGCAGGGGUAUGCAACAGGUUAUAUGUCUACAUUCUUUUCAACUGCUACAAUGUCUUUAAGAACACUGGAGAACAGAUUUACUUCUGGUACAUUUUCAUUGGACUGGAUCCUAAGUCUGCCAUAAAGGAAUGUCAACAGUGGAGCUUCAGUAGGAAGCUCCUCUUGUUGUACUUGUUUUCUUGGAGUUUCCCUAGUGAAACAAUGAGUUGGAUUACUUUAAAUAGAGCAU